GGGCUCGAGCGUCACAAGUGCCAAGCUAAGGAACCAGCUGUAAUAAACACGACUCAAGUUGAUACGCCAGCGAUGCUCUCCGAGCGAGAGAUAAGAGGCAAGAAACGGAAUUACACAAGAGCGUUGCGCCGCGAGUUUUACGCAAAUGCGCACGUCGAAUUAUUCUCUGGCAAAUAAAACUUGUAAUUAGAAAUCCUAACGUCAGUCAACGCCGUCAUAGUAUUUGCAUGAAAAGUUUAAGCCUGAAUCUAACAACGACGGUUUGUGCAGUGUAACUACGUUGUGUGACUACGCUGUACAGUUUCAAGGCGACAAAUUCGAAUUGUAUACAACGGCAGUGUAUAACGGUAUAAUCAUCGUGCUUUCGGUCUUAUAAUUAGCUUGGAGAUGCUGCCUACGCUGGGUGAAUAUUUAGCAAGUUUGCGAAACCUCUAAGCCACAUCUAAGGAGGCCUGCGUCGGGGCUCUGAGUAGGUAUCCGAUUGGCGAGAACGCUGUCGACGUCUACGUAUGAAUACCGGAGUGACGAAUCCUGCGGACCUCGAAUUGAACCCAAUUCCACUAAAAGCCAAAGCCAAACUGACCACCGGGCUCAAUUCACAAAGGAAAUAAAUAUUCAGAUAAGGUCGUCUACUCGGCAGAAUCCCGAAGGUCCCACAGAGGAUACGUCGGGCGACUAUCGACGGACGUCGUCUGUUCAGAGAGAGAAUAUACUAUACACUGUCAUGUUUUUAUCUUAGCGACAGACUCUCGAGCAGUCUCAGCUCGCUAUUCCGUAACCGGAUCACACAAAGCCCCCUGUCUACGACGCGCUAAAGAUCCAAACAAUUUUGCUGACACAGGCUGAAUACGUAACGUACAGCUUACACAUUUUCCAGAGAUUGACACACGACUUUUAAUCCAGGUGUAUUCGCACUUUCAGCUUCCAAAUGCCGACUGCGGACGGAACGAUCCGUGCCAAAUUGAAAAGCGAUCCAAACGAUGAUCGAACGCUCAACUUGGAAGCAUCGCUACCACGAAAACAAAAAUUUACUUGAACGUUUGGCGGUGUGCUGAGUAUGUAAAGAACCGCAUCUGAGAUGUCCUUGGCCUGCAAUGUCGGAGCAUCGGGACUUCCUGUGUUUUCCACGCAAUAUUCUGCAGCCUCCAUGAUCUCGGUCUUCACCAGUCCAGGACUAAGACUCUGAAAAGCAUCUCAGCUCUGAUUAAGACGCAUAAAAAUACAAGAGUGAUACGCGGUACUGUGAAACAGAUAACAUGUCCGGACAUUCCGCUUUUCACUCGGCUUUUCUACUCACCGUCACUUUGAUGUUCGUUUUAGCGGAAAUUAGCUCCCGGCGAACAACCUCCGUCAUGGCGGUCAAUGCGUACUUGCUACUUGGAUAAAGGCUCAGAUGAUUCGGUAGAUUCGGAAUAGCAUGUCCGGUUACGCUGGAGUCGGAAUUGUUUGCAAAUGUAAGAUAAUUUCGUGAAACUGGGAGAGGAAUUUUACGUAUACUGAUCUGGCUUCGCGGGCAUCUGAUAAUGAUAAUAGCGAAGCGUCCGUUUACCUGUUGAUGUUUAUUAUAUGACCAUCGACUCGGCGAGCUCGCAUAUUCGCGACUGCCUCUCGUGUGCAUAUGGCCACUGCCAAGACAUUGACAUCCAGUACGCGCCGAAAGCCUUCCGUGUCUCCGCCUAAACGAGAAGACCUUGAAAAUAUAUUCACGCCAAUCGAGGAAAUUUGGUAUUCCUAUAACAUGCAGCAAGUAUAUGCGAAUGCCUAUGAGGCCAUUCGAAAAUCGUUAGUGAAAAAAAGAGCCAGAAAUCUUGUCUCAAUUUAGGAGAGACAUCGCGUCCUUCAUCUUAUUGUUGAUUUAAAUUCGACGCGAUGAUUUUUGCAGCCAUUUUAUAAAAAUUAUAUCGAAACCGAGGCGUUGGGUGAUGGAUAUUAGGGUAUAUCGAAAAACCACGUUUUUCAAAUUUCGACACGGUCUAGUGUUUCACUCCCCUACAGCUAUCUAUUGAAAAAAAAAAAAUAUACCAGUAUUGACUUUUCUUGUUCUCCUUACUAUAUUCAAGAAUAUUUGACUGUGUUAAAGAAAUUUCCAAAUUUAAAAAUGUUUUCCUUGAAACCGAUUUAUUUUUCUGUCAAGACCAAAAUUUUCCACGCUAGUCCGUGUCGAAAUUAGAAAAACGUGGCUUUUCGAUACACCCUAACGGAUAUACUAAAAAUUCAUUCUUGUUGCAUGGAGAAUCGAAUAGUUUUCUUUACUGAUAAUAUGGGCGAAGUGGGCGACACCCGCAUUGUUCACGAGGACGUCAAUUGCUCCGAGAUGAUCUCUGAUCCAUCUGAAGGCAUCCAAGAUUUCUUGCUCGUUCGAAACGUCGCAUUGGACCGGAUACAGCUUCCCUUUCGCGAUACUCAAGGCCUCGGCCGUGUCCUGGAGGCGAUUUUUUCUCCUCGCUAAGCCUACGACGAUCAUUCCUUCCCGAGCCAAAGCUUCGGCGAUGGAAGCCCCGAUCCCUGAAGAAGCUCCCGUAACAACGGCCACUCGACCCGCCCAACGCUCCAUGACUUAAAUUUUUACGGAUUGAAAUCUUCGUUCAACUUAUGCGAAUCUCCUGAUGAUCAAGUUUUUAUAAAGUUUUUAUGAAUCUAUCGCAGUAAUGUAUUCAGACGUGUUGUAUAACUUGGACAAAGACAGAAGCGUUUCCGUAUUUGAUCGACGGAUGAUAUCAUGCACGGGCUCGAACGCUGUGUAAUUAUCGGUGAAAAAAUAUUGCGCAGUCACGGCAAACAAGAUGAGGUGUAAUACAUGUUGAGGUACAUCAGAUAUUCAUCGCUGCCAAAAAUAAAA
rnacentral:lncRNA from 1 species